UACGGCGGGGGCUAGCGUUGUUCGGAAUUACUGGGCGUAAAGCGCACGUAGGCGGCUUUGUAAGUUAGAGGUGAAAGCCCGGGGCUCAACCCCGGAAUUGCCUUUAAGACUGCAUCGCUAGAAUUGUGGAGAGGUAAGUGGAAUUCCGAGUGUAGAGGUGAAAUUCGUAGAUAUUCGCAAGAACACCAGUGGCGAAGGCGGCUCACUGGCCCGGUACUGACGCUGAGGUGCGAAAGCGUGGGGAGCAAACAGG
rnacentral:rRNA from 1 species